GAUGAACGCUGGCGGCGUGCUUAAUACAUGCAAGUCGAACGGAAAGACGCGGCGUUUGUGCCUUUCUCGAUUGGCGAACGCGGGUGUGUCACGCGUGUAUAAUGCACCUGUCUUUCUGAUAACUCUACGAGACAGGGGCUCUUACCCGGGAUGAUCUCUUGCUCCAUGUGGGUGGAUAGAAAGUGACGGCGUUUGUGGCUCUACUAGCUGCAUCUGCGCCUCAUGAGCUAGUUGGUGAGGUAACGGCGUACCAAGGCAACGAUGCGUAGCCGACCUGAGAGGGUGAUCGGCCACACUGGAACUGAGACACGGUCCAGACUCCUACGGGAGGCAGCAGUAGGGAAUCUUCCGCAAUGGGCGAAAGCCUGACGGAGCAACGCCGCGUGAGUGAUGAAGGUCUUCGGAUCGUAAAACUCUGUUAUUAGGGAAGAACAAAUGUGUAAGUAACUAUGCACGUCUUGACGGUACCUAAUCAGAAAGCCACGGCUAACUACGUG
rnacentral:rRNA from 1 species